rnacentral:tRNA from 1 species
GGAGUUGUAGUUCAGUGGUAGAACAUUUACCUAGCAUGUGUGAGGAACUGAGUUUAAUCCUCAGCACCA